AAGGUAUGGGGGAGAUCAAAAGGGAGUAUGUUAGUCAAAUAGAGGGCUCUCAGACUAAUUAAAGAAAGAAAGAGGCAAGGUAUUAAGAAUGUAUCCAAUACUACUUCCAUCAAAAACAGAACAAGAAGGAGCCAACCCAUGAAAAAGGGAAAAACAUUCAAGUUCCAGAAACAGAACAAGGAGGAGGCCAAAUCAUGAAAAAUGAUUGAUUUCAGAUUCUCUAAUUUUCAAGACUUAAGGGAACAAUAAAUAGUAAUGUCUGGGCACAGAAGAGUUAGAUAUUUA